rfam:Corynebacterium matruchotii ATCC 14266 gcontig_1125149795840, whole genome shotgun sequence.
GGGGUCGAUUCAGGUUUCGACUACGAACAUUACGCCAGGGGAAGCGUGCCGGUGCAGGCUAGAGACCACCGCAAGCGUCGCAGCAACUCAUAAGCGCCGAGAACACUCAGCGCGACUACGCUCUCGCUGCCUAAUACAGCGAUACGCGUGUCUGUCAGACCGGAAUCGUCCCUGGUCCGGACCCUGGCAUCGACUAAGGGACUUGCCGCUUUAUUUGGUUAACGAGGUACAGCGGGACUUUCAUCGUUAACUGUGGCCCAUCAUCCAGGAGGGUUCGUCCGAGCUGGAGGGUCAGAGUAAAAGAUCGUGCACGAACUGCGCACGGAGAAGCCCUGGCAACAUGGCGUAGGACCCGGGUUCAAUUCCCGGCGGCUCCACGC